UACGAAGGGUGCAAGCGUUACUCGGAAUCACUGGGCGUAAAGCGUGCGUAGGCGGUUUCUUAAGUCUGUCGUGAAAGCCCUGGGCUCAACCUGGGAAUGGCGAUGGAUACUGGCAAGCUAGAGUGCGGUAGAGGGUAGUGGAAUUCCCGGUGUAGCAGUGAAAUGCGUAGAGAUCGGGAGGAACACCAGUGGCGAAGGCGGCUACCUGGACCAGCACUGACACUGAAGCACGAAAGCGUGGGGAGCAAACAGG
rnacentral:rRNA from 1 species